rnacentral:rRNA from 1 species
UGGGGAAUUUUGGACAAUGGGGGAAACCCUGAUCCAGCCAUCCCGCGUGUGCGAUGAAGGCCUUCGGGUUGUAAAGCACUUUUUGGCAGGAAAGAAACGUCGCGGGGUUAAUACCCCGCGGAACUGACGGUACCUGCAGAAUAAGCACCGGCUAACUACGUGCCAGCAGCCGCGGUAAUACGUAGGGUGCAAGCGUUAAUCGGAAUUACUGGGCGUAAAGCGUGCGCAGGCGGUUCGGAAAGAAAGAUGUGAAAUCCCAGAGCUUAACUUUGGAACUGCAUUUUUAACUACCGGGCUAGAGUGUGUCAGAGGGAGGUGGAAUUCCGCGUGUAGCAGUGAAAUGCGUAGAUAUGCGGAGGAACACCGAUGGCGAAGGCAGCCUCCUGGGAUAACACUGACGCUCAUGCACGAAAGCGUGGGGAGCAAACAGGAUUAGAUACCCUGGUAGUCCACGCCCUAAACGAUGUCAACUAGCU